UUCAGUGCCAAGGAAUGGUGCCACGUGGACAAACCGGAUAUUCCCUACUGCUCCUGGUGGCAACGUGGGCUGCAGAAGUUCUUCUGGGUUUCCCAGAUGUGGAGUCCAUAGCAGAAGAUGGAAGCACUUUGAUGCCUCUCCUGCUUCCUGGAUCCCAGAACCGACACCAUCUCGGGUGCCCUGCGCUGCCGGCAGCACCACGCGGCACCGCGGCGGAGCAGCUCCUCGGCGCUGGGGUUUGUGACAUGUACUAACUGCAGCCUCUGAACACAGAGAGGGAAUUUACCUUUGGCUACUGAAGAUGAUUUAUGGAUUUGCCACCUCUUGCCAAAUACUUCAGGCUUGACAUAGCAGCUUUUCCCAGCAGAAGAGCAUUCCAUGCAUUUUCCCAGCAGCUGCAGGUUUUAUCUGAGCUGCCAUGCUCCCGCCUCCUCCACGAGACAGCAAACACCAGCAGAAACAGGCAGGAAUCCACCCCGGCCCUGAACUCCCAGCCCGGCUGCUCACACAAGGGCUCUCCGGGGGCUUGUUGGCCAGCGGAUAACGGGGUCUGCAGACAUAAUUCCCUGCAAUUGACCCAAGGACACCGCCGUUCUUCGAGUGACCCCGCACACCCGCUUCUCUCUGCUGAAGUGCCCUCUGGAGAGGUCGCAGGGGGAUUUCCAGCCAGGGCUGUGCAGGAUGGGACAGGACCAUGGUGUCCCUGAGCUCGGCUCCCAGGUGUGUGCUGGGGCUGGAGCCACCACGGGUGCUUCCAGUGGCACCAGAACGCCCGUGCACAGCGGCUCUCCUCCUGCUUCAGCAGUUCCGGGAGGAGCGGGUCUGUUAUUGCUGCUCUAAGGAUUAUUAUUCUUCUCAAUAAAAGACGCAAGUUAAAUGAAUGUGAAGCA
rnacentral:lncRNA from 1 species